CCUCCAGACGUCGACAGAAACCGUCUGGCUAGAGUCCGGAAGAGGAGAGUGGAAUUCCUGGUGUAGCGGUGAAAUGCGCAGAUAUCAGGAAGAACACCCAUGGCGAAGGCAGCUCUCUGGGACGGUACUGACGCUGAGACGCGAAAGCGUGGGGAGCGAACAGGAUUAGAUACCCUGGUAGUCCACGCCGUAAACGAUGGGUGCUAGGUGUGGGAGGUGUCGACUCCUCCCGUGCCGCAGCUAACGCAUUAAGCACCCCGCCUGGGAG
rnacentral:rRNA from 1 species